AGUAUCACAGCCCAAGAAAUCUCCUUCUUGCGAUGGUGGGUGAAGUGGGAGAGCUAUCAGAGAUAUUCCAAUGGAAAGGAGAAGUGGCAAGAGGAUGUCCAGAUUGG